CGGAACUCUCAGGAAUGAACAGGGGGGUGGCCACAAGACUGACAUGGGGAUCCUCCUAUGGCAGAGAACAUGGAGCGAACCACUGUGAGGGGAAAUGGGGGUACAUAGAACCGGCUAACAUUUAUCAGGACCCCUAACUGAACCCAACCCGGGAUGCAACAACGUACAUUUUGUUAAAUCUGGCAUAAUAAUUAAAGAAGCCAUUAAUUACUUGGUCCAGGAAGGAGGUCUGAACUGGAGAACAGAAGCAGAUGAUUAAUCAGAGUGGUUCCACCAGAAAAUCGUGGCAAAACACAAGGUUACAAGGAAUGAUCAACUUCUUAUGUGAUUAAUUUUAAAACUUCAAAAUUGGCCUAUGCAGGAGAUGUUAUCAGAAUUUCUGGAUCUGGAAAAAGAAAUCUGAUGAAUGAUAUUGGACAAGCUAAUUGAAAAAGUUGAAGGAAGAAAGAUGAAGCAUGGGAUACAAUGAUAGUUAUACACUUUCUGGGUAGUAAAUUGUUUUAAUCCUCUUCUUGAGUGGGCAAUGGGAAACCUGAUCUCAGCACUCUAGUUUCUAGGAGAACAAACCACAAUUAUGUUCUUUUUCCUGGAAGUGUGGGAAAAAGUGCCAAAUUAUUAAAAGGAGCGAUUUAGGCUCUUAGGACUUCAGGGAGUCUGUGCAUGUGCAUAUAUGCACAUAUAUACAGGUAUGAG